CAGUCGCCACGGGAAUACAGAGGGUGCGAGCGUUAAUCGGAUUUACUGGGCGUAAAGCGUGCGUAGGCGGCUAAUUGAGUCGGAUGUGAAAUCCCCGAGCUUAACUUGGGAAUUGCAUUCGAUACUGGUUAGCUAGAGUGUGGGAGAGGAUGGUAGAAUUCCAGGUGUAGCGGUGAAAUGCGUAGAGAUCUGGAGGAAUACCGAUGGCGAAGGCAGCCAUCUGGCCUAACACUGACGCUGAGGUACGAAAGCAUGGGGAGCAAACAGGAUUAGAGACCCCCGUAGUCCCUGUCUCUUAUAC
rnacentral:rRNA from 1 species